UACGUAGGGUGCAAGCGUUGUCCGGAAUUAUUGGGCGUAAAGAGCUCGUAGGCGGUUCGUCGCGUCGGCUGUGAAAUCCCGCGGCUCAACUGCGGGUCUGCAGUCGAUACGGGCAGGCUAGAGUUCGGUAGGGGAGACUGGAAUUCCUGGUGUAGCGGUGAAAUGCGCAGAUAUCAGGAGGAACACCGAUGGCGAAGGCAGGUCUCUGGGCCGAUACUGACGCUGAGGAGCGAAAGCGUGGGGGAGCGAACAGG
rnacentral:rRNA from 1 species